rnacentral:tRNA from 1 species
GCUCCUUUAGCUCAGUGGUAGAGUACGGUAUAUGUCCGUGGGACACAGGUUCAAUUCCUGUAAGGAGCUCAA